GAUGAACGCUGGCGGCGUGCCUAAUACAUGCAAGUCGAGCGAACGGACGAGAAGCUUUCUCCCCUGAUGUUAGCGGCGGACGGGUGAGUAACUCGUGGAUAACCUACCUCUAAGACUGGGAUAAUAUCGGGAAACCAUAUCUACUACCGGAUAAUAUUUUGAACUGGAUGGUUCAAAAGUGAAAGACGCUCUUGCUGUCAGUUAUAGACGGAUCCGCGCUGCAUUAGCUAGUUGGUAAGGUAACGGCUUACCAAGGCAACGAUGCAUAGCCGACCUGAGAGGGAGAGCGGCCACACUGGAACUGAGACACGGUCCAGACUCCUACGGGAGGCAGCCGUAGGGAAUCUUCCGCAAUGGGCGAAAGCCUGACGAAGCAACGCCGCGUGAGUGAUGAAGGUCUUCGGAUCGUAAAACUCUGUUAUUAGGGAAGAACAUAAGUGUAAGUAACCGUGCACAUCUUGACGAUACCUAAGCAAAAAGACACGGCUAAAUACGUG
rnacentral:rRNA from 1 species